CACAUUGGAACUGAGACACGGUCCAAACUCCUACGGGAGGCAGCAGUGGGGAAUAUUGCACAAUGGGCGAAAGCCUGAUGCAGCAACGCCGCGUGAGCGAAGAAGGCCUUUGGGUCGUAAAGCUCUGUCCUUGGGGAAGAAACAAAUGACGGUACCCAAGGAGGAAGCCCCGGCUAACUACGUGCCAGCAGCCGCGGUAAUACGUAGGGGGCGAGCGUUAUCCGGAAUUAUUGGGCGUAAAGAGUGCGUAGGUGGUCUUGUAAGCGUGGGGUGAAAGGCAGUGGCUUAACCAUUGUAAGCCCUGCGAACUGUGAGACUUGAGUGCAGGAGAGGAAAGCGGAAUUCCUAGUGUAGC
rnacentral:rRNA from 1 species